AUGUCAGGCUUCUGUGCUCAGCCUGAGCUGACCCAGCCCCCAUCUGCAUCUGCCUUCCUGGGAGCCUCCGCCAAGCUCACCUGCACCCUGAGCAGUGAGCACAGACGCUACACCAUUGAAUGGUUUCAGCAGCACCCAGGGAAGGCCCCUCACUACAUAACGUAUAUUAGGAGUGAUGGAAGCCACAGCAAGGGGGAUGGGACCCCUGAUCACUUGUCGGGCUCCAGCUCUGGGGCUGACUGCUACUUAACCAUCUCCAACCUCCAAUUUGUGGAUGAGGCUGAGUAUUACCGUCGUGAGGGCCGCACAACUGAUGGCCAAGGCGGGUAA